GACGUAGGGCGCGAGCGUUGUCCGGAUUUAUUGGGCGUAAAGAGCUCGUAGGCGGCUUGUCGCGUCGACCGUGAAAACUUGGGGCUCAACCCCAAGCCUGCGGUCGAUACGGGCAGGCUAGAGUUCGGUAGGGGAGACUGGAAUUCCUGGUGUAGCGGUGAAAUGCGCAGAUAUCAGGAGGAACACCGGUGGCGAAGGCGGGUCUCUGGGCCGAUACUGACGCUGAGGAGCGAGAGCGUGGGGAGCGAACAGG
rnacentral:rRNA from 1 species